UCUUCAAAGAAGAACCGGCACACAAAGGCAGGAGCCGAGGAGAGGGGCAACAGCCAGGAAAACCACCAGACGGUUCUGACGUGGAGAGAGGAAACGGCGUUGGCAGGCUGAGGACGAGGACACUAUCAGACGCGUUCCUCUCCUAAGGCCACUCUCAAAGAAGGAGGUCAGAAGGACACAGUGACUCCAGACCUACCCCCAAGUGAUGAUGUGUUCUGAAGAAAGAGCAUGCACAUGGAGCCCAGCUGUGUCACAACUGAAGAACCCGGACUGCCUGUUUUGACCCGGUGCUGCUAACACAUUGACAUAAAGCCCCACAAGGCUCCUUCCUUACUUCUACUGCAUCAGCAUGAGGGACCUGCCCAGACGAGCCAUGAGAUCCUUUCCUUCUCAAAAGAGCUUCUGAAGCUUGUGCUAUUAUUAAAAAACAAGCAUGUGUGCUGAA